GCAAGCAUAGCUCAAUUGGGAGAGCGCCCGACCGAUAAUCGGGAGGUUGGAUAGGGUUCAAUUCCCCCUGUUUGCACCA
rnacentral:tRNA from 3 species